rnacentral:rRNA from 1 species
UGAGGAAUUUUCUGCAAUGGGCGAAAGCCUGACAGAGCAAUACCGCGUGAGGGAUGAAGACUUACUGAGUUGUAAACCUCGGUACCUUAAGGAAGAAGAUCUGACGGUACUUAAGGUGGAAAGCAUCGGCUAACUCCGUGCCAGCAGCCGCGGUAAGACGGGGGAUGCAAGUGUUAUCCGGAUUUACUGGGCGUAAAGCGACUGCAGGUGGGUUCUUAAGUCUACUGUUAAAUCUUGAGGCUCAACCUC